rnacentral:rRNA from 1 species
CAGCCGCCGCGGUAAUUCGUAGGGUGCGAGCGUUAAUCGGAAUUACUGGGCGUAAAGCGUGCGCAGGCGGUUUUGUAAGAUAGAUGUGAAAUCCCCGGGCUCAACCUGGGAACUGCAUAUAUGACUGCAAAGCUAGAGUACGGUAGAGGGGGAUGGAAUUCCGCGUGUAGCAGUGAAAUGCGUAGAUAUGCGGAGGAACACCGAUGGCGAAGGCAAUCCCCUGGACCUGUACUGACGCUCAUGCACGAAAGCGUGGGGAGCAAACAGGAUUAGAUACCCUGGUAGUCCACGCCCUAAACGAUGUCAACUGGUUGUUGGGUCUUUACUGACUCAGUAACGUAGCUAACGCGUGAAGUUGACCGCCUGGGGAGUACGGCCGCAAGGUUGAAACUCAAAUGAAUUGACGG